rnacentral:rRNA from 1 species
UCCAGAGAACUUAGCAGAGAUGCUUUGGUGCCUUCGGGAACUCUGAGACAGGUGCUGCAUGGCUGUCGUCAGCUCGUGUUGUGAAAUGUUGGGUUAAGUCCCGNAACGAGCGCAACCCUUAUCCUUUGUUGCCAGCGAUUCGGUCGGGAACUCAAAGGAGACUGCCGGUGAUAAACCGGAGGAAGGUGGGGAUGACGUCAAGUCAUCAUGGCCCUUACGGCCAGGGCUACACACGUGCUACAAUGGCGCAUACAAAGAGAAGCGACCUCGCGAGAGCAAGCGGACCUCAUAAAGUGCGUCGUAGUCCGGAUUGGAGUCUGCAACUCGACUCCAUGAAGUCGGAAUCGCUAGUAAUCGUAGAUCAGAAUGCUACGGUGAAUACGUUCCCGGGCCUUGUACACACCGCCCGUCACACCAUGGGAGUGGGUUGCAAAAGAAGUAGGUAGCUUAACCUUCGGGAGGGCGCUUACCACUUUGUGAUUCAUGACUGGGGUGAAGUCGUAACAAGGUAAGCGUACUACA